CUCUCUUCUCAGCCAUGCUGCUGAGAGCAACUUCCACACAGCCCUGGACACGCUCACCAUGUUUGCGUCCAGGCUGUGCAAAGGCCAAAAUGGGAGGAGUUCCAGACGCAAGAAGAUGGAGCUGGACAGCAGAAGAGCUCAGGCCACCCGCAGCGCUCUCAUCCUCGCCCAUGGCAGCUUGGCACUGCGUGCCUCCAAGGAACAGCUGCUCGCCCGCCUGGAGGGAGACAUCGUGGGCAACAUCCUGCUGCUCUACAGCUGCAGCUGCCGGGACCUGCAGAACACGCUUGCGCUGGUGCAGAGCAUCACUG
ensembl:lncRNA